GGCACUGUGGCGGAGUGGUUAACGCGACAGAUUCGAAUCAAAAGCCGUAGGUAAAGUUUCUAUCUGUUCCACUUGUUGGGCGCAUGUUCGAAUCAUGCCAGUGUCG